rnacentral:rRNA from 1 species
AUACGAAGGGUGCUAGCGUUGUUCGGAACUACUGGGCGUAAAGCGUGCGUAGGCGGACUUUUAAGUCAGAUGUGAAAUCCCAGGGCUCAACCCUGGAACUGCAUUUGAAACUGGGAGUCUAGAGACCAGGAGAGGUUAGCGGAAUACCGAGUGUAGAGGUGAAAUUCGUAGAUAUUCGGUGGAACACCAGUGGCGAAGGCGGCUAACUGGACUGGUACUGACGCUGAGGCACGAAAGUGUGGGGAGCAAACAGGAUUAGAAACCCUAGUAGUCC